UACGGAGGGUGCAAGCGUUAUCCGGCUUCACUGGGUUUAAAGGGUGCGUAGGCGGGCAGGUAAGUCCGUGGUGAAAUCUCUGAGCUUAACUCAGAAACUGCCAUGGAUACUAUUUGUCUUGAAUGUUGUGGAGGUAAGCGGAAUAUGUCAUGUAGCGGUGAAAUGCUUAGAUAUGACAUAGAACACCAAUUGCGAAGGCAGCUUACUACACAAAUAUUGACGCUGAGGCACGAAAGCGUGGGGAUCAAACAGG
rnacentral:rRNA from 1 species